rnacentral:rRNA from 1 species
UACAGAGGGUGCAAGCGUUAAUCGGAGUUACUGGGCGUAAAGGGCGCGUAGGCGGUCAUGCAAGUGAGAUGUGAAAUCCCCGGGCUUAACCUGGGAACUGCAUUUUAGACUGUGUGACUGGAGUACUGUAGAGGACAGUGGAAUUUCCGGUGUAGCGGUGAAAUGCGUAGAGAUCGGAAGGAACACCAGUGGCGAAGGCGACUGUCUGGCCAGAUACUGACGCUGAGGCGCGAAGCGUGGGGAGCAAACAGG